rnacentral:misc_RNA from 1 species
UACACAAAGAAAAUAGCAUGUUUUUGUCAUAACUCAUCUCAGUUUAUUAAUUCCAACAACAGGUAAUAGUUAGUCAUCAUUGUGUAUCUUUUUAAGAAAAAUCAGCAGAAAAAGUUAACUGUAAGCCUCCAAAUUCGAAAAAUUUCUCAACUCCUCUUGUCUUUCUGUCUUCUAUCGUUACAUGCCUUGAGAGCCUGAACUUCUUUUUGACAAGAUUUCCAAUUCCGGUUAGAAUUGAUCAGACAAUCCUGUAAUGAUAAGUAGACAGAAGAGCACUCGUUGAGCUGCUUUACAGUUUCGUCUUCUUCGUCGGCGUCAUCCUGAUGUACCGUUGGCCGCAUCGGCGGCGGAAGCAGUGGCGCGUUCGGAGUUUGUUGAUGGUCCAUUAUAUGUUCG